ensembl:lncRNA
GUGCUUGUCCUUGACAGUGUCUGUCUCCAUGGAGGAUAGUGGAUUCUGGAGCCAGGAAGCCAGAGAGUAAGCAGGGAAUGAGUGUUUUGGUUUUAAACCAUAUAUGCUGGGUUUAAUGUGGGGAAACUGAUAUCAGGGUCGGUAUCAUUCCCUUUUGCCCAGCUUAGAAUCUAUGACUCGAAAUUAUAUUUACCCAACUGUAAAUAGUUUCAUUUACCUUGUCACUCUCUUAUUUCUUUGUUUUUCAAAAACUUACUUGCAAAUAAAACCUAGCCAUUAACUUUCUCACCUGUGUCUAUCAACCUAGGCAAGGCCAUAAAAAAUUACAAAAACAGAUUGGUAUCAUUAGUAAGUUAAGAUUUUCUGCCUCAGACUCUAAAAAUCACCUGAAACUGUUUCAAAAAACUAUGAUGACUUCAUGCUUCUACAUUCCACAGUGAUUUUCUUCCAAUUUCAUUUUGACGAACUGGGAACCCCUCGUCUUCCAGAUCUACAAACCUAUCUUCUUUAGAAGCCUGAACCUCUUUUUCUCCUGUUUCUCUGGGAGUAGUUUCCCUCCACCUGUGAGACUACAAGUCUCUAUACCCCAUUAAGGGAAGGACAGUAGGCUGAUCCCGUUGGCAGGCCGAGGGAAGGAAACGGAUCUAGCCUAGAUUCUGAGACUUCAAUGUAUAGAUAACAAUUGAAAACCGUGGCUUGUUUGUGAAGUAGAAAAUGAAGCAAUGACAUUAGAUGAUUCCAAAAAGAAGAUUAAUCAAAGUGGAGAAAAGGACAAGAGAAAAAUGAGAAAAAGCCACAUUUUAAAAGGUUUUUGAGAAGGAAGUUGUUAAGUCACAAACACUCUGGUGACUCUGAGAACUGAAAAGUGUCCAUUGGAUUUUCCAGAUUAACUUGAGGAUCUUCAAUGACUUCUUUACUCCUGAAAGAGAAGCAUGAUCAAGUCAGAAUCAACCAAUUGAAGAUUCCAUGCUGUUCCUGGUCUCUGUAUUUAUGCUAACAAAUUCUUCGUUAUUUCAUUGCGGCAUCUGAGCAGUACAUGCUUAUAAGACAGUGGACAACCAGCCUCCUGUUUGUGAGGACUUCCUACCAAGAUGUAACAAAAGAACUUGGAAUCAUUUAUGGGACAGGUGAAUAUCUAUUUUGUUUAGUGUCAGAAGACCCCUGAAAUGAUACUCUAUAGCUAACAGGAAUUUACAAGCCUCUAAAUAUUAAUCUGGAAUGAACUUUGGCUAAUAUAUGCUACUGACUAAGACUAGCACCCUUAAAAAUAAGAAUUUGAUUCCAUUUUUCAAAUUUAAAAAUUAUUUGCAUGACAGAGAGAAUGGUGAGAAGAGCCGAGGGAAAGGACAAGAAAAAACAAAAAAAAGUUCCCCAGACUAAGAAGAGUGUGCAGAUGGCGGAAGGACUGACAUUACAAAUUUCCAUUAUGCUACAUCACAGAUUAUUUUUAAAAACGUAGCAUUAAAAGAAAUACUUUGGGGGCCGGCUCUGUGGCCGAGUGGUUAAGUUCGUGCGCUCCGCUGCGGUGGCCCAGGGUUUGGAUCCUGGGCGUGGACAUGGCACUGCUCGUCAGGCCACAUUGAGGCGGCGUCCCACAUCCCACAACCAGAAGGACGUGCAACUAAGAUAUACAACUGUGUACAGGGGCGGGGUGGGGAGAUAAAAGCAGAAAAAAAAAAAAAAAAAAAAGAUUGGCAACAGUUGUUAGCCCAGGUGCCAAUCUUAAAAAAAAAAAAAAAUACUUUGGUAAAUGUAUCUGAUGGCUAGCAUGUGUUCAACAAACAUCACUUGCAUGGUUCUUUUUCCUGGUUACCCAUUCACAUUUUCACAUAUAGAAUGAGGAUUGCUAUUUGCAUGUUAACUAUGAGAACACUGAGAUAAAUAUUGAGGUUUUGACCAAGGUCACAGGGGAAAUUGAUGCCAGAGCUAGGCAAGAGCUCCAGCUUCUGAGGAGUAUAUGCCAAGAAGAGGGAGAAAGAUAAAAAAAAGUUUUGUGUGUUUUUCCUACUCAAGGUCAGUAGAGAAGGAAUUACCUUCUUUCUUAUUGGAUUUGAAUUCAGAUUAAGUUCUUUAAUUUCCGUCUUUGUCCCCAGUGUUUAUUCAGUUGAGUCCCAGAUUUCUUGUAAUGAAUAGGAUAGCAGGACAGCAAGAAGAGAGGGUUAAUAUUCAGACAUAAUGUGCCACUGACUGCUGCGUGAGCCACAGUUUUGGCUCAUAGGUGUACUUGAAAACCCCCAGAUUCCAUCUGUUUCCUUCAUUGCCUUAGGAGUUUGGAGUUAAUUGAUAAAGCUCGGCUCAACCUACCAUUUUUGAAGAAUACUUAAUUUUUUUCUGGUAUUUAAAAAUUCCAAAUAGCUUAAAGACUAAGUAUGGAAGUAAAA